AUCGCUUCUCGGCCUUUUGGCUAAGAUCAAGUGUAAUAUGUGUACUAAGAAUACCAAGAGACAAAUUUCCAACAUUCCUAAACACAUUUUUAACUUAAGAAAUACUCUUC
ensembl:snRNA U2 U2 spliceosomal RNA